rnacentral:RNase_P_RNA from 1 species
CGAGUAAGUUGAGUGGUCGCGUGCGCUAGCGCAUGAGGAAAGUCCGUGCUCCAUAGGGCAGGAUGCUGGAUAACGUCCAGUGGGGGUGACCCUAAGGAUAGUGCAACAGAGAUAUACCGCCUAGGCAACUAGGUAAGGGUGGAAAGGCGAGGUAAGAGCUCACCAGCGCUUAGGUGACUAAGUGGCUAUGUAAACCCCAUCUGGAGCAAGACCAAAAAGGAACACAAAAAGGUGGUAGCCCGCUGCCGUUCCAAAGGUAGGUCGCAUGAACCUAUUGGUAACAAUAGGUCUAGAUAGAUGACCAUUUAAACAGAACACGGCUUAUAGAUUUACUCGUAGU